AUGGAAGGAGAGGCUCGGGGACAUGAACGAAAGCUCUUAUCCAAAUCAGAAACAGCUGACAGAGUAACAGAGAAAUGGCCAAGAAGACAUCUGGAUGGAGUGACACCUGAUGACAGGAAGCACAACCAGAGAACUUACUCCAGCAUGGUGACUAUCAUGGAAGGAGAUUCUACUGCAAUCUCCAAUGGAAUGGCAGCACUGAAGAAAUCACUCCUGGGAAAAAAAAAAGAAAAAGAAAAAAAAAGAAUUAUUACAUUACUCUCAGACAUCCUAGGAGAACUCCCACAGAUGUCUGUGAGAAUAGCAGCACAGGUUAGGGAACAAAUAUGGAAAGACAGGGCUUUUCAUCAAGAAGAAAAUGCAUGUAGUACUCUCCAAACUUAAAUCAGAAAUUUUGUAUGUGCUGCAGGAUUUAUGUUCAGCUGAGCCCUUCCAAGUUAAAGAAGAUACACAAAACUGAGUAAAAGAUGGAAAUAAAUCCUUGUAAAAGUCACCCA
ensembl:lncRNA